GGAGCAUGCGCACUGGCAGCCCCUCGCUCGGCCUUUGGAGACUAUGCGCAGGCGCGGUGCACUGCGCGCGGGCACCACGGCGGUUUUUCGACGCUGGCGGUGGACGCAGGCGGCAUGGACCACGGUUGCUGGGCGGAUGGGGAGCGUCUAUGGUCAGUUGCCUUAGAAAUGGUGAGAUGGGAAGCUGCAGUUGGAAGACCCUGGAGGAUGCCUGACAAGGGGAUGUCUGACACAUGAUUGGAGCUCUUUUUGAAACGUUUCUUGCCCUUCCUGGAGCAGAGGAGCCAUUAUUUAUGCAGAGCUGCAAAGGAACCUGAGGCUGUGGCUGUAAAAAAUCACAACCCAGACAAGGUGUGGUGGGCCAAGAACAGCCAGGCCAAAACCAUUGCCACGGAGUCUUGUCCUGCCCUGCGGUGCUGUGAAGGAUAUAGAAUGUGUGCCAGUUUUGAUUCCCUGCCACCUUGCUGUUGCAACGUAAAUGAGGGCCUCUGAGUUAGGAAAGGUGGGCACAAAAAUCUUCAUGAGCAAUACUUCUUAGUAGAUUGUUUUGUUAUUCAAAUCAAGUUCUAGUGUUUUUAUGUGAGAUUAUAUAAUUUACAGUGCUGUUUUAUAUACUUUUGAAUAAAUGUACACUAUUAAAAAUAA
rnacentral:sRNA from 1 species